rnacentral:rRNA from 1 species
AGGAUGAACGCUGGCGGCGUGCCUAAUACAUGCAAGUCGAGCGGUAAGGCCCCUUCGGGGGUACACGAGCGGCGGACGGCUGAGUAACACGUAGGAACGUACCCCAAAGUGAGGCAUAAGCACCAGAAAUGGUGUCUAAUACCGCAUGUGGCCUAACAGGCUAAAGCUCCGGCGCUUUGGGAACGGCCUGCGCAUGAUUAGCUUGUUGGUGAGGUAAAAGCUCACCAAGGCAGUGAUCAUUAGCUGGUCUGAGAGGAUGACCAGCCAGACUGGGACUGAGAACGGCCCAGACUCCUACGGGAGGCAGCAGUAGGGAAUUUUCCACAAUGGACGAAAGCCUGAUGGAGCAACGCCGCGUGCAGGAUGAAGGCUCUAGGGUCGUAAACUGCUUUUAUCUGUGACGAAUAUGACGGUAGCAGAUGAAUAAGGAUCGGACUAACUCCGUGCCAGCAGCCGC